UGGUGCCGACUCGGUCCACGUGGUUCCAGACCAGACUGCGGCUGCGGCCCAAAAGAGUUAGGCUUUUUGGGGUGAACUUAGAUUUCCCUGAUGCUACUGAUGGAGAUAGUAGCGUUCCAUCCGCGGCGUUUUCGUCUUCAGCUUCGCCCUCGCCCAAGGGGAAGGAGAAGGAGGAGUUAUCACUAGAUCUUGGUAUGUGAAGGAGAUCAAUGUUAGAAUCAAGAAGAGAUCAAUUGAGGACGAAAGGUUUCUCAACCUUGAACUUCAUUUCAUCAGAGUUGCAGAAACCACUGAACAUGCGUAGAGUCACAAAGAUCACUGAGGAAAAGCCAUAAAAAUUAAAGUUCUUUAAAUGCCCUGCAGAGAUUCGAGAGGGAUAACACUAUAAUUAGAGUGCUAUAUGGUUAAUCUUCAACUACAUAUGUUCAGACUUUUGUCAGAGCUUUUCAGCAAGUAGCUGUUUUAACUUGACACGUAUUAUGACUCAACCUCCAUG